rnacentral:rRNA from 1 species
UACGUAGGGGGCUAGCGUUGUCCGGAUUUAUUGGGCGUAAAGAGCUCGUAGGUGGUUCGGUAAGUCGGAUGUGAAAUCUCCAGGCUCAACCUGGAGGGGUCAUUCGAUACUGCCGUGACUAGAGUUCGGUAGAGGAGUGUGGAAUUCCUGGUGGAGCGGUGAAAUGCGCAGAGAUCAGGAGGAACUCCCGUAGCGAAGGCGGCACUCUGGGCCGAUACUGACACUGAGGAGCGAAAGCGUGGGGAGCGAACAGG